GGGGCGAAUGGCUCGGAUGGCUGGAUUUACCUCCACGCUCGCAUACAUGAGGUAUUAUCUGCUUUGGCUCUAAUUGUCUUUGGACUUCAAUGGGCCUUGGCCAUUUAGAGCCUCAUGAUUUUAUCUUUUAAAAGGUGCCUCACAUGGGAGAGAAAAUUUUAAUUCAUACAAAACUAUACUUCCUUUUGACUCAUAACCACUA
rnacentral:lncRNA from 1 species